UCUAGUGCACUGCCUGAGACACGCACCACUCAGGUCCGCCCCAGUUCCUUCCUUCCCUUUAUGCCAUCUGCAGAAUUGGCCGGCUCUCUCUCCUAAGGCCAGUUUGGGUAGACUCUGAAGAUUAAAAUGAACCACAAAUAUCCAGGCACCGCACCCGCACCCUCAGGUAUACAGCAUAUGCAGAAGCCAGAGGACAACUUGUGAGAGCUGAAUCUCUUCCUCUACCAUGUGGAUCCUGGGGACUGAGUGCAGGUCAUUAGGGUAUUAGUUCUGAAUAUUGAGAAGACUGAGGACUGGACGUUCUGUUGUACACCUGUAGCCCCACCUGCACAGUGAGAAGACUGAGGACUGGACGUUCUGUUGUGCACCUGUAGCCCCACCUGCUUUAGAGUCUAAAGGUAGAUCACUUGGGUUCUGGAGUUUGGGGCCAGCCUGGGCAACAGCCAGACUCCAUCUUGCAAAAGAAGGGAAGGGGGCAAUGGAGGAAGGAGAGGAGGGAGAGAACGAGUAGGUGAGGCAGAUGAAGCUGGGUGUGGUUGUUUAUAACUGUUAUCCUAAUGCUUGGGAGGCUAAGGCAGAAAUAUUACCACAAAAAUUCAGAGCCAGCCUGGGCUACAUAGCAAGUAGCAGACCAACUAAAGACACAUAGCCAAAUCUCAUCUCAAAUAAAUAAGCAAGCAAAGUUGUAAGACAACUUGUGUACUAUGAACCAACUAUGUCAAAGAUGG